rnacentral:rRNA from 1 species
CCCUUAGAUGUUCUGGGCCGCACGCGCGCUACACUGAUGCAUUCAACGAGCCUAUCCUUGACCGACAGGUCCGGGUAAUCUUUGAAUCUGCAUCGUGACGGGGAUAGAUUAUUGCAAUUAUUAAUCUUCAACGAGGAAUGCCUAGUAGGUGCAAGUCAUCAGCUUGCGUCGAUUACGUCCCUGCCCUUUGUACACACCGCCCGUCGCUCCUACCGAUUGGGUGUGCUGGUGAAAUGUUCGGAUCGGCCGUUUGUCGCGGUUUCCGCGUCAUGUGGCUGAGAAGUUCAUUAAACCCUCCCACCUAGAGGAAGGAGAAGUCGUAACA